rnacentral:tRNA from 1 species
GAGAAUAUAGCUCAGUUCGGGAGAGUGUACACCUCGGGAGUGUAAGGUCACUGGUUCGAAUCCAGUUAUUCUCU